GACGAACUGUCCUAACGUUGUUCGGAAUCACUGGGCUUAAAGGGUGCGUAGGCGGGUCUUUUAAGUCAGGGGUGAAAUCCUGGAGCUCAACUCCAGAACUGCCUUUGAUACUGAAGAUCUUGAGUUCGGGAGAGGUGAGUGGAACUGCGAGUGUAGAGGUGAAAUUCGAUAGAUAUUCGCAAGAACACCAGUGGCGAAGGCGGCUCACUGGCCCGAUACUGACGCUGAGGCACGAAAAGCGUGGGGGAGCAAACAGG
rnacentral:rRNA from 1 species